UACAGAGGGUGCAAGCGUCGUUCGGAAUUACUGGGCGUAAAGGGCGUGUAGGCGGCUUCAUAAGUCAGAUGUGAAAUCCCGGGGCUUAAUUCCGGAAGUGCAUUUGAAACUGUGAGGCUAGAGUGCUGUAGAGGAUGGCGGAAUACCCAGUGGAGAGGUGAAAUUCGUAGAUAUUGGGUAGAACACCGGUGGCGAAGGCGGCCAUCUGGGCAGCAACUGACGCUGAGGCGCGAGAGCGUGGGGAGCAAACAGG
rnacentral:rRNA from 1 species